UGUUGACUCCGCGUGGGUCCAGAAUGGGUCGAAGGCCUCCUUUGGCCUUGAGAAUGAGGAAGUAGCGGGAGUAGAACCUAUUCCCUCUUAGGUCCUUUGGUACCAACUCUACUGCUGCCGUCUCUAGGAGCAUGCAAACCUCCUUUUCCAGGAGGUGCAC